UCUCGAUCACGUAAAAGUUAACUCAAAUUUGUAUGGAGUUGCAUCGUUAGAAUACGUUUGCCGCGAGGGGCGCUGUUCCAACUGCAUACAAAUUUCAGUUAACUUUUACGUUAUCUA
rnacentral:pre_miRNA from 9 species